CGGAAGCCAAAUUUCCCUCCUCCCACUUUUCUGGCCCGUCGGAUUUCAGGGAGGGAAGGAGAGAGAUGUCAAGAAGGAGGCCGCGGAUAGACGGCCAUCAAGUUAGUCCCACAUCGGCGGAUCGAUCGGAAUAAAAGGAGAAAGAAAGGAAGCAACUCAGGAGCGAAAAAUAUGAGAAUAGCUCCUCUGUUGCCGACUCCGGCUCUGCUCUGCGCUCUUCAAGGAUGGGGCCCCAUGCACGCCUAGACCGCCGCCGCCUAGCUCGCCGCCAACUACCCUGCCUGUGAUAUCGCUGUAUUCGGGUAGCUUACCCAUCGCCCAGGCCGCCGCCCCAUAGUCGACGAGGUUGCCACGCUUGAGGGUGCGCCGGGAAGAAUUUUUCCACUGUCGGUAAAUUACCGACGCUAAAAGGUGUCGGUAAAGCGUCGCUAGUUCCCGACGCUUCCAAAAGCGUCGAGAAAGAUUUUUUCCACUGUAGCAUAGGCGACGCUUUGGAUAGCGUCGGGAACGUUUUUACCGACGCGUAAAAGCAUCGCUAAUGGCCAAAAAAAACGUCGCUAAUUCCUAUUUUUCUUGUAGUGAGAGGGAUUGCCAGAUCUAGUUAAUUGCUUAAUCAGAGUGUUGACAAAGAGUGGGAAGCAUUAUUUAAAAAGGCAACUGCAAUACGCUUGCAGUCAAGGGACCACAUUUUUAACUAUUUAAAAAUAAAUAUAACAUAUUAAGUACAAUAGUGACAAUAAUAAUAGCAAUAUUUUUUUUGAAUGGAUAAUAGUAGUAUUAACUACAAUAGCAACUAACAACUAGUGUUUAUUGCUCAGUACUUAAUACCUAAUUUCAAUAACUAUAAUAUAAUAAAUAUUUUUAAACUAUCGAUAGGCAUGUUAGGCUAACUUGAAAAACCCAUCAAACCUAACCAUUAGCUUCAACCUGCUUUAUCUGCAUAAAUCUGCAUAAGAGGGAUCUGUAUGUGUGGCCCUAGAAUGAUAAGCAAGCAUAGGUAUGUGGCCAUACAAUACUAAAUGUUGUGGUUCAAAUUUGGCCUGAGGGUGACCACGCAUGUGGAGUCGAGGGAGUUGCCAGUGGUUGAAGGGAGAAGACGGGAGUCACCUCUUGCGCGAUGACUGUGGACCUGCACAAAGCCUCACCGGUAGGAUUCCGGUGAGGGCCCUCCGACGAUCAAGUUAGAAUAGGGGUAAAUUUUGUCCAGCCCAAGGAAUCCCUUAGAAAUUACUUGAUCGAGCUAUUUAUAGCCUUGGUGGAGUGGCCCAGGUGGCGGAGGUACUGUCAGCCCUCAUCAUGAGGGGGCGUGGCUCUAAGCCGGAUGGCACGUAGCUCAGGCUGGUUGGUAACGUGCGGUACAAUCCGUUCUUGAGAAUGGUAGGGUGUUGAUAGUCAUGGCAGGAUAUGGCCGGGGUAGUCAAGAUGUCGUCUGACUGCUGCUGGCCGGUUAUGGAGACAUGACACAGUAAUGUGGUGAAGUACGGCCACGUAGGUGGGCGUAGGCCCGCACAUGGGUGUGGUCGUUGGCGAGGCUGAGCUCGUUAAGCAGUCACGCCAUGCGUUUGACGAGGUCAGCUUGGCGGGUGCUGGAAGUAGCUCGGAUUUUUGGAUUCUGGGAUGUGCUCGGUGAAGCACCCUAAGCUUGAGAGUCGGAGCGUAUCGCUGGGGUCGGCGCUCCGAGCUUGGUCGGGAUGGGUCGGCGAUUGUCUGGAGGUACCCCGAGCAUGGUCGGGGGAGUCGGCGAAUAUCUGGAGUUAGUGGAGCUUUCGGCGGAGUUUCGAGGACGAGCUGGCCCUGAGCCGAAGUGAAGAUUCAGUCGUCCGUCAUAGGUGUUUACUGGGCUGAAACUGGGCGGCCUUUUAGUUGUGGGCUGGACGAUCCAUUUUUUCCUCUAUCAUUUGCCCCCUACUUCUAAGGUCGAGCUGCCUUGUGGCUCGAACGAUGGAAGUAGUCAGACUCCUGAUCGUCCAGUGCUUCAGUUACAUAAGCAAAAAGAGGCGCGAACCGAACUAGAUAUGCUUUGGUGCACUCCUUGGUCGAGUGCUCGACGUCGGACUUGGGACGUCCGAGCUACUAGAUUUUCUGGGGUGAAAUUUGCCACAAAAAAUUUUCAGGGUUCCACGUGGGCGUUCCUUUCUAGAGGGUUGUUGGAUCGGAGCAAGGAGGGUUCUGACCAUUAAUUCCCCGUCCCCCGAAGCAUUCCGCCUGGCGGAACAUGAGGAGUCGGCCAUUAAUGCUCCCUUCUUCGAAGCGUCUCAUUCGGUGGAAAGCGGGAGGUCAAUCAUCAAUAUUUCGAGCUCCGGAGCGCCCUCCAUAAUGAUAAGCAAUUAGUGAGGCGAUUCGGAGAGAUUUGUUGAUGCCGUCUUAGGGAUCGCCACGUGGUGAAUUUCGGGCCGUAUGAUCAUUUAGGAUGCCCGAUCAGAGCCGCUGCAGUGGCCUAUAUAAGGCUUGAAGAAGGGGUCGUAGGGUCGUCGCUUGACCCUCUCCCUGCUCCUGAUCUUCUUUCCUCAGCCGCCGUUGCCGGGAUGUUGGAGCUUUCUUCCAGGCAUUCUUGGGAGCUCCUGCUAGCUUUUGCGCCACCUUGUGAUUUCCUCUUUCGGAAGUCAUUCUCCUUCUUCGCUCGUCCGUCUCUUUCCGGCGAGCUUUCGGGUAGGCAGUCGAUCUCCUCUUUCAGUCGCUCGGAGAGUCUUUCGUCUUCUUUCUCCUUUUUCCUUUAAUCUUAAGACCAAGGCAAUGGACUCACCGGCGAGGGCAUCGAUGUUCGAUGUAGGUCCAUCGCGAGCUCCGACUUCUUCCGAGGUGGAAGAGGUUGAACUUGAGGUAGGCCCAAUCCCGUAUGGAAUGGGCUUGCUAAUGACCGACGAGGA
rnacentral:lncRNA from 1 species